GAAUUUUCCGCAAUGGGCGAAAGCCUGACGGAGCAACGCCGCGUGAGGGAUGAAGGCCUCUGGGCUGUAAACCUCUUUUCUCAAGGAAGAAGAACUGACGGUACUUGAGGAAUAAGCCACGGCUAAUUCCGUGCCAGCAGCCGCGGUAAUACGGGAGUGGCAAGCGUUAUCCGGAAUUAUUGGGCGUAAAGCGUCCGCAGGCGGUCUUGAAAGUCUGUUGUUAAAGCGUGGAGCUUAACUCCAUUUCAGCAAUGGAAACUUCAAGACUAGAGUGUGGUAGGGGCAGAGGGAAUUCCCGGUGUAGCGGUGAAAUGCGUAGAUAUCGGGAAGAACACCAGUGGCGAAGGCGCUCUGCUGGGCCAUAACUGACGCUCAUGGACGAAAGCCAGGGGAGCGAAAGGGAUUAGAUACCCCUGUAGUC
rnacentral:rRNA from 1 species